rnacentral:tRNA from 1 species
AAGGCGCUAAUUAAAUAGAAAUAAUACUGCUUUGUCAAGGCAGACUUGUGGGUUAAAACCCCGCGCGCCUUU